rnacentral:rRNA from 1 species
ACAAACGCUGGCGGCGUGCAUAACACAUGCAAGUCGAACGAGGAGAGCAAUCUCCGAGUGGCGGACGGGUGAGGAACACGUGGAUAAUCGACCCAGCACUGGGGAAUACCCCUGGGAAACCAGGGCUAAUACCGCAUACGCUCGGUAACGAGGAAAGCCUUCGGGCGGUGGUGGACGAGUCUGCGUCCGAUUAGCUGGUUGGCGGGGUAAUGGCCCACCAAGGCGACGAUCGGUAGCUGGUCUGAGAGGAUGAUCAGCCACAUUGGGAUUGAGAACGGCCCAAAUCCCUACGGGGAGCAGCAGUGAGGAAUAUUCGGCAAUGGGCGCAAGCCUGACCGAGCGACGCCGCGUGCGGGACGACGCGUUUUCGGGCGUGUAAAACCGCUUUUUUCUGCUCGACGAGUGAGGACGGUAGAGCAGGAAUCAGCCUCGGCUAACUACGUGCCAGCAGCCGCGGUAAUACGUAGGAGGCAAGUGUUGUCCGGAGUUUACUGGGCGUAAAGCGUGUGUAGGCGGUGGUGUUAGUCUGGUGUGAAAUCUCCCGGCUUACCUGGGAGGGGGGCAUCGGAAAACGGCACGACUUGAGGGCAUCAGAGGCCAGUAGAACUCCCGGUGGACCAGUGAAAUGGGUAGAGAUCGGGAAGAAUACCAGUGGUGCAGACGGCUGGCUGGGGUGUACCUGACGCUGAGACGCGAAAGCAUGGGGAGCAAACAGGAUUGGAUACCCUGGUAGUCCAUGCUGUAAACGAUGUCCACUAGGUGUGCGGGGUAUCGACCCCCUGCGUGCCGGAGCUAACGCACGAAGUGGACCGCCUGGGGAGUACGGCCGCAAGGUUUAAAACUCAAAGGAAUUGACGGGGACCCGCACAAGCAGCGGAGCGUGUGGUUUAAUUCGAGGCAACGCGAAGAAACCUUACCUGGAUUCAAUUUUGGCUGCACCAGGGGUUUAUGCCCUGUCCCCGCAAGGGGCGGUCAGAACGGUGCUGCAUGGCUGUCGUCAGCUCGUGCCGUGAGGUGUUGGGUUAAGUCCCCUAACGAGCGCAACCCCUACUGCCGGUUACACAUCCGGCGGGACUGCCGCGCACAAACGCGGAGGAAGGCGGGGAUGAUGUCAAGUCAGCACGGCCCUUACGUCCAGGGCGACACACACGCUACAAUGGCCAGGACAAUGCGCCGCAACACGGCGACGUGACGCGAAUCGCCUAAAACCUGGUCUCAGUUCGGAUCGGAGGCUGCAACCCGCCUCCGUGAAGUCGGAGUUGCUAGUAACCGCGCGUCAGCACAGUGCGGUGAAUACGUUUCCCGGGUCUUGUACACACCGCCCGUCACACCACGAAAGUGGGUAACACCUGAAGUCGGGUAGCCAACUCGUUUGAGACGCGCCUGCCGAGGGUGGGACCCGUGAUUGGGGUG